CCCGCUGAACUUAAGCAUAUCAAUAAGCGGAGGAAAAGAAACUAACAAGGAUUCCCCUAGUAACUGCGAGUGAAGCGGGAAGAGCUCAAAUUUAAAAUCUGGCGCGCCUCUGGUCGUCCGAGUUGUAGUCUGGAGAAGCGUUUUCUGUGUUGGACCGUGUAUAAGUCUCUUGGAACAGGGCGUCAUAGAGGGUGAGAAUCCCGUCUUUGACACGGACUACCAAUGCUUUGUGAUGCGCUCUCAAAGAGUCGAGUUGUUUGGGAAUGCAGCUCAAAAUGGGUGGUAAAUUCCAUCUAAAGCUAAAUAUAGGCGAGAGACCGAUAGCGAACAAGUACCGUGAGGGAAAGAUGAAAAGCACUUUGGAAAGAGAGUUAAACAGUACGUGAAAUUGCUGAAAGGGAAACGCUUGAAGUCAGUCACGUCUGCCAGGACUCAGCCUUGCUUCUGCUUGGUGUACUUUCUGGUUUGAUGGGCCAACAUCAAUUUUGACCGUUGGAGAAAGGCUGUGGGAAUGUGGCACCUUCGGGUGUGUUAUAGCCCAUGGUUGUAUACAGCGGUUGGGAUUGAGGACUGCAGCACGCCUUUGUGGCCGGGGUUUUGCCCACGUCACGUGCUUAGGAUGUUGGCAUAAUGGCUUUAAGCGACCCGUCUUGAAACACGG
rnacentral:rRNA from 1 species